UACAGAGGUCUCAAGCGUUGUUCGGAUUCAUUGGGCGUAAAGGGUGCGUAGGCGGCGCGGUAAGUCGGGUGUGAAAUCUCAGGGCUCAACCCUGAAACUGCACUUGAUACUGCUCUGCUUGAGGACUGGAGAGGAGACUGGAAUUCACGGUGUAGCAGUGAAAUGCGUAGAUAUCGUGAGGAAGACCAGUGGCGAAGGCGGGUCGUCCUGGACAGUUCCUGACGCUG
rnacentral:rRNA from 1 species